rnacentral:tRNA from 1 species
UGUUCUAUGGCUUAGUUGGUUAAAGCGCCGGUCUAGCGAAUACGGGUCAUGGGUUCGAAUUCCACCAGAACGA